AGAGUUUGAUCCUGGCUCAGGAUGAACGCUGGCGGCGUGCCUAAUACAUGCAAGUCGAACGGAGCCCCGCAAGGGACUUAGUGGCGAACGGGUGAGUAACGCGUUGGUAACCUGCCCCGGAGAGUGGGAUAACAGGCCGAAAGGCUUGCUAAUACCGCAUGUGCAGUAGAGGAAUAGCAUCUGUACUGCAAAGCAGCAAUGCGCUCUGGGAGGGGCCUGCGACCCAUCAGCUAGUUGGUAAGGUAACGGCCUACCAAGGCGAUGACGGGUAGGGGACCUGAGAGGGUGGCCCCCCACAAUGGAACUGAAACACGGUCCAUACACCUACGGGUGGCAGCAGUAGGGAAUAUUGCAUAAUGGGCGAAAGCCUGAUGCAGCAACGCCGCGUGUGCGAUGAAGGCCUUCGGGUUGUAAAGCACUUUUCGCAGGGAAGAGGAAGGACGGUACCUGUGGAAUAAGCCUCGGCUAACUACGUGCCAGCAGCCGCGGUAAAACGUAGGAGGCGAGCGUUAUCCGGAUUUACUGGGUGUAAAGCGCGUGCAGGCGGUUGGCUAAGUUGGGUGUGAAAGCUCCUGGCUCAACUAGGAGAGGUCGCUCAAGACUGGCCGACUGGAGAGCAGUAAGGGAAGGUGGAAUUCCGGGUGUAGUGGUGAAAUGCGUAGAUAUCCGGAGGAACACCAGUGGCGAAAGCGGCCUUCUGGACUGCAUCUGACGCUCAGACGCGAAAGCUAGGGGAGCAAACGGGAUUAGAGACCCCGGUAGUCCUAGCUGUAAACGAUGUGAACUUGGCGCUGGAUGGG
rnacentral:rRNA from 1 species